rnacentral:rRNA from 1 species
AGUCAGGAGUGAAAGGCUACGGCUCAACCGUAGUAAGCUCUUGAAACUGGGAGACUUGAGUGCAGGAGAGGAGAGUGGAAUUCCUAGUGUAGCGGUGAAAUGCGUAGAUAUUAGGAGGAACACCAGUUGCGAAGGCGGCUCGCUGGACUGUAACUGACGCUGAGGCACGAAAGCGUGGGGAGCAAACAGGAUUAGAUACCCUGGUAGUCCACGCUGUAAACGAUGAGUACUAGGUGUCGGGGGUUACCCCCUUCGGUGCCGCAGCUAACGCAUUAAGUACUCCGCCUGGGAAGUACGCUCGCAAGAGUGAAACUCAAAG